UACGUAGGGGGCAAGCGUUGUCCGGAAUCAUUGGGCGUAAAGAGCGUGUAGGCGGUCCGGCAAGUCCGCUCUGAAAGUCCGGGGCUCAACCCCGGGAGGCGGGCGGAUACUGUCGGACUAGAGUCCGGAAGAGGCGAGUGGAAUUCCUGGUGUAGCGGUGAAAUGCGCAGAUAUCAGGAGGAACACCAAUUGCGAAGGCAGCUCGCUGGGACGUUACUGACGCUGAGACGCGAAAGCGUGGGGAGCAAACAGGAUUAGAAA
rnacentral:rRNA from 1 species